rnacentral:rRNA from 1 species
ACUCCUACGGGAGGCAGCAGUGGGAAUCUUGGACAAUGGGGGCACCCUGAUCCAGCCAUGCCGCGUGAGCGAUGAAGGCCUUAGGGUUGUAAAGCUCUUUCACCGGUGAAGAUAAUGACGGUAGCCGGAGAAGAAGCCCCGGCUAACUCCGUGCCAGCAGCCGCGGUAAUACGGAGGGGCGUAGCGUUGUUCGGAAUUACUGGGCGUAAAGCGCGCGUAGGCGGGCUGUUAAGUCGGGGUGAAAUCCCGGGCUCAACCCGAACUGCCCUCGAUACUGGCAGCCUAAGAUCUGGAGAGGCGAGUGGAAUUCCGAGUGUAGAGGUGAAAUUCGUAGAUAUUCGGAGGAACACCAGUGGCGAAGGCGGCUCGCUGGCCAGAUACUGACG